UGCUCCGCCCCACAGUUACCUGGCAACAGCCAGCUGUGCCUGAUGCUAUAGAAGGGACUGCUUGCCCCCUCCUCUUUCUCUUGCUCUUUGCUCUUCUCUGCCCUCUUGCCCUCUUCCUCUUUGUCCCUUCUCUUCCUAUCCCCCCACUUCUUCCCUCCCUGUGCUUAUGGCCGGCCUUUACUUCUCCCCAUUUCUACUCUUCUCUCAUUAAACCGCUCCCCGUGGAGCCAUGUUGGUUUGCUGUGUUCUGUCUGGACGGGAGCCGAGAUUUAAACCCCAACAGGGAGCAUAUCAAACAGAAAACAGCCGACCGCAGGAAGUAGAUCCUAGCCUCCAGGAAGCCGAAUCAGCAAAAGGUAUCAGAACCCAUUGGCAGUCCUCUUCCCUCCUGUACUCGCCCCGUGGUCUUAGCUGUUUGCUGCCUUAGGCCAGCUCUGAUCGUUUUACUCGCGGGAGCUGCCACUACUUGACCUGAAUUGAUGGAAGCCGAUCAGCUUUGGCCACCUUUGGGUCAGAUGUGUGCCCCAGACCAGUUACCUAUGACAAAGGACACAGAGAUGCUUGAUGACACAUGGGACCUAGCUCUUCAAAACCUAGAGAGAGAUAACGGAUGGGCAGAAAGGAGGGGCUUACUGGGAGAAAUGAUUGGGAUGUCUGACCACAUUCAUUGUAUGAUCCUCCUUUUAGACUGAAAUGCUGAAAGACAUUAAGCCCAGAUCACUGGUCCAGAGAUGAUAGGCAUGCAGUCUGUCCAGCCCCCUUAACUAAUGGCUACUCCCUGGCCUCUCCCCAGACAAAACCCCUUCGGGCUCCUGCAUAUCACCCCUUAAGCUCUAUUUGAAGGUUGGAAAUGAGGUUGAGGCAUCUGUUGUCCCCACAGUCCCAUUGCAUCGGAGACUCGAAGCAAUUGGGGUGCUUUCAACCAGAAAAAUAUAAUUUAAGGGCUUGGCAUCUGGCUGGGAGCUGAGAGAUAUGUUGUCAUGGAAAUGCCUCGCUUCAUUUAACAGCAGCAUAUUCCUACAGUUGGUCACAUCCACCCUGUCAGCAGACCCCUGUGUAGCAUGCAUACACCUCUGGCAGAAACACGUCCGCAGGAUGCAGAGUCCGUUCCCAGCACCCUCCUCCCUGUCACAGAUACCCAGACUCCAGCACCCUCCUCCCCGUCAUAGAUACCCGGACUCCUCACCCUUUCCUGAAGUCACCUCCAUGCAGCAUAGAGCACUCUAGGGACAGUAGAGGGGCACAUGACUGCAAAUUCUCCUCACUAAUCUUAUGCCACACAGAAGGCCACUGCAUCCAUACGCUUUUCUGGUGGUCCCAGAACACAGCUGUAUUACCGACCUCAUAAAUCUACUGUGUGUGUGUCUUCAACUCUUUAUUAAAGCCCAGAAGACAACAUUCAGGGAGAGAAGUAUAGUAGUCACCACACCCAAAUGUUUCUCUAUUUGCUUAAGAGAACAAGGGUUAAUUUCUCUGGGCAGUCCAGAGGACCGAAGUUCCACAAUUACCCAGAAGGCCUUAGGUGUCUCAAGCCAUGCAGUAGACAUUCAUUAAUAAAGAAGAGGUGAGUAAAUGAGGCUCAGCUGUACAAGUCUGUCAUCUGAGGAAGCUCAAAGAGCUAAGUAAGCCAUGUCUGUUCACAUGAAUAUAUUUCAGCAUGAAAUUUACAUGCAUGUAAACAUGAUGCAUAUGAAGGAGCCUGAAACACGUGGAAUUAAUAGAGGGGGGUUGGGAACUUCACUUCAUGAAACAAUGGCUUAUCUAUCCAAACCAGGGAGUCAGGGAAGGAGUUCUCAAGAGCUCAUGCACACGGCUGCCAGGUGGGCUGCAUGGGUCUCCUCCGCACAGUCCUUCCUCUUACCAUGGAGUAAUCAGCUUCUCAGAGACCCCGGGACAGUAUUCCAAGACUAUGAGAGCAGAACCAUCAGGGCUUUCGAAGGUCGAGGCACUCGUCCUUACCCGCAUCCCGUCUGAUGCAUCCUACUAGUAAACAUUCAGCCCACUCUUCUAAGGGGAAGGGAAAUAACCUCCUGCUGCCACAAAGAGCACAGUCACAUCACAAAGGCACAUGUGGAUUGGAGUGGGAAGACUUUGUAGACGUUGUCUCCAUCUGCCAGCCCUCUGGCUUGACUGUUUUCAUUAGGAAUAGAUGCGUAUGUAUGUAUAUUGUCUCUGAGUGACAGGAUAAAUAAUGGGAUUUUUUUUCACUCUCUGCUAACCAGUGACCAAUGCUUGAGCAAUUGUGUACUGAAAGAAAAGUCAGAUGAUGGUACAUGGCUUUAAUCAUAGCCCUCGGAAGGCUGAGGUCAGGGAAUUUCAAGUUCCAAGCCAAUCUGGGCUGUAAAGUGAGAGAGAUUCUGCUUCCAAAAAAAGAAAGAAUGAAAGAAAGAAAGAAACGUCAGACCCACAGUUCCAUUCAUAAAAUAGUAUGGUCCUCUUUGAUAAGGACUUUUGUUUUUAUUUGUUCUUGUGUAUUUGAGUACAAAGUUGCUAUGUUCGGACACGCCAGAAGAGGGCAUCAUUGGAUCCCAUUACACAUGAUUGUGAGCCACCAUGUGGUUGCUGGGAAUUGAACUCAGGACCUCUGGAAGAGCAGCCAGUGCUUUUAACCACCACAGAACCAUCUCUCCAGCCCAAGGUCUUUGAUAAACUGAUUUUAUAUUCAUAUGCUAUUCCCCCUGAGGUGAUCUGCUCUAUGUGUGUGGAUGGUCUAACAAAACUUCAGGCUUGGGCAAAGAAGACAGACAGAAAACAAAAUCCCUGUUUUUCAAAACAAGUUUAAGAGACAUGGACACAACUCAUUGAUGGGGUAAGUGCCUGAUAUACUUGAGGCCAUGGGCUUCAUCCCUAGAACCACAACAACACCAAAGGGGGCAAGUCACGACAACAAUGGCCACUGAGUCAUGAGAAAUGGCCUAGUCUGUGUGGCAGCAUGUCAGUAAGUGUUCCUAGGACACCAUAGAGAGAGGCAGGAGAAUACAGCUGUUGGAUACAGGGAUGGAGAAGCCACCAAUCUCACUGAAGGGAAAGGUGGCAGGUGCGUGAAAGAUCCCCCAAGGGAAGAGGAGAAUCUGAAAGAGGAUCCUUUUCCUUCAUGGCACUCAGCUUUCCCUUACUGUAACAAACAGCUGCAAUCCCCCAUAAAGAGGAGAGACCCCUGGCCCACAGGUUUGGAGGUUGAAGUCUCCUUCCAAGGAAGAUAUCAUGACAAAGUUUUGUAGAGUUAAAGCCCUCACCUCAGAAUAGAGAUGGAGUGGAAAGGGAAGGGGAGGGAACAAGAGGAGUAUGGAAUCUCAAAUACCCUUUAAACAUGUACCCCAGUGACCUAAAAAACAUUCAGAAGGCCCUACUCUCCGAAAGUCCAGAGUCUCCAAUAGCAUUGUCCUGGGGAGCAAGCCUUUACCACAAAGGGGGGCCCUUAGUAAUAUAGCUACAACAAACCUCACAUCUCCUUCCCACGAAGGCAGUUUAAUUGAUAGGAUUUCUGGAACUUUCUACCUCAUUGCUCCUUCCUCCCCUGGUAGAUAUAGUACAAAUCACUCUUGAUUUGGGACUAACACCUGGGCAACCUUGUCUCAGACCUACAUCUUGUCUCUCUCGGGCAUGAGCACACACCUGCUCAGAUGUACCACCUCCUCCUUGUCUGUUUCUAGGUUUUCUAGGGACUGUGUGGGUAAGGCUGCCUAACAUCUGGGGGUUGGUAGUAAAAGGCUCGGUAGGAAGACCUAUGACCACAUCCUGUGUCUGACUCCUAUUGAUUAAAGAGGUGUUAUUCUACCUUCUGGGUCAGCCUUUAAUUAUUCUCUCUUGUUCAGAAAGCUAAAAAGGGGGGCUGGAGAGAUGGCUCAGUGGUUAAGAGCACCGGCUGCUCUUCCAGGGGACCCAGGGUCCAAUUCCCAGCAUCAACAUGCCAGCGCAAACUCUGUAGCUGCAGUUCCAGGGGAUCUGGCACUUUUACAGACAUACAUACAGGCAAAACACACUGCACAUAAAAUAAAAAAUCCUUUUUAAAAAGGAAAUGCAUGUGGGUUGGGGAUUUAGCUCAGUGGUAGAGCGCUUGCCUAGCAACCACAAGGCCCUGGGUUCGGUCCCCCGCUCCGAAAAACAGAAAGAAAAAAAAAAAAAAAAGGAAAUGCAUGUGCUCUUUAUUGAGAGCCUUCUGGAAGCCUGUAAUAUAAUGAUUAUUUAUAGCCGUGCGAUUGGCCAAUCAGCCCAGUUAGUGACUUCAGCUCUAAGCACCUUACCAAGCUUAUGUAUGAAGUCCAGGGUCUCUUGAGAAAGACUGAUGCCAGGCAGUGGCGGGGCACAUCUUUAAUCUCAGCACUCAGGAGGCAGAGGCAGGUGACUCUCUGAGUUCAAGGCCAGCCUGAUGUACAGAGGAAGUUUCAGGACAGCCAGUGCUACACAAAGAAUCCCUGUAUCAAAACAGGCAAACAAAAAACAAACACAAAAACAAAAAAAAUUAGACAAGAAAGGCUGUCAGAAACACAAUAUACAGAUGGGGUAUUAUGGUCGGGAUCACCCCCAAAGAGUUCUCAAACUGCAAGGAUACUUGAGGCAUUGGGAGCUCAGUGGGACAGGACUACUGACUUUCGGCCUGGCUACUGACAAAGGCCUGAGCGCUGCAUCACGUGGGUCUCUCCACAGGAUAGCCUCAGUGUCCACAGGAAGUGACAUCAGUCUUCCCUUGAGCCACGAAGCAAAUGGCAAAGGGGAGGAGGAAGCCAGAGCACCUUUUAUCUAGUUUCUAAACUUGAAUAUGGACACUUCUGUUUUAGUUUUUAGGUCCGGCGUUAAACUUAGCCCAGGAGGGAAAGUGGAAAGGCCUUCUUUUGUCGGGAGCAAAGAAUCACAGAGCCCUCAACAAAGGAAAGACACACAAAGACAAAUAUUAGAGUGCUUGCUUAGCACAGUAAAGCCCUGUGUUUAAUCCCUAUUGUUACAAAUGAAAUGGAAAGAGAAGAGAGGUGGAGGGAAGGGAGGAGAGAGGGGAGUGGAAGGAAGGAGAAGAGAGGGGAGCGAGGAAAUGAUGGGAGAGGAUGGGGGGAGAUACUGCAACAUCCCUUUGCCUCAGAGUGAGUGUAAAAGGACAGGCAUCCUUAGGAGGUUCUCUGUUGAGAUUUGGUCUUGCUGUCUAUUGUAAUGCUAAGUGUGGGUCCCCAAGACCUGGAAUCAGCACAUGGACCCAAGUGACACUAGAUGACCCAAGUUAUUUCUGAUUGAUAAAUAAAGAUGGGGACAGCCAAAAUAGCUGGGAAGAAGGAACAUAGGUGGGGUUUAGGGUUUUCAAAGUUGGGGUCAGAGGAGAACCAUGAGGAGAAAGUGGAGGAGGAAGGAGAAGCCACCAUAGGUUAGGAGUCAAGAAAACAUGGCCCUGAGAGCUGGCUAAUUGGCAGCCCAGAGGAAACAUCAUAAGUAAUAACUCGGGGGGUUGGGGAUUUAGCUCAGUGGUAGAGCGCUUGCCUAGGAAGCGCAAGGCCCUGGGUUCGGUCCCCAGCUCCGAAAAAAAGAACCAAAAAAAAAAAAAAAAACAAAAAAACAAAAAAACAAAAACCCUCGGGGUUAUUGAUAGGAAAGUAGAUUCUAUUAGCGUAGAGGGUAGACGGCUGCCCUGCCGUAGUGCUGACUAAGGCUUAUUGUAAAUAUAAAGGUCAUGAGUGUCUUCAUAUCCGGGAAUUAAAUGAUCAAGGCAGGGUAGAAUUUUCAGGACUAAAAAUUCCUACAACAGUUCUCACUUUGAAGAUGUCCCCUCCUCUCGCCAUGGACUCAAUGGAAGUUUUUACUCAAUGCCCUUGACAGCCCCUCUAGACUGUCCUCUGAACCCCACAACUCCAGUAUUUUGUUCCCAAGAGACCUAAUUCUGCUUCUUCCACCUGGGCAGGCCUUGCCUUAAGAUUUAUCUUUCCGGGGUUGGGGAUUUAGCUCAGUGGUAGAGCACUUGCCUAGCAAGCGCAAGGCACUGGGUUCGGUCCCCAGCUCUGAAAAAAAAAAAAAAAAAGAAGUUAGAAAAAAAAAAAUAUUUAUCUUUCCACUAGUCUGUCCCAUGGACCCAAGAGGCCCUCUGUAUCAGUGGGAGUGUCUGUUGUGUUUUAUAAGUAAGAAGAGGAAGCCAGGGAUAUGUUUGGUAGAGUGGGGUGUGGUGCCGGAGAAGUGGGUGCCUCUGCAGCUCGGGCUGAGUCAUUCCUUCCCCCUGAGGCACCAGCCACAGGAUGGAUCGUAUGGAAAUAGAGUUUAUUUAUGGGGAGGGGACUAGGGGAGGGAGUAGAGACAGAGUGAGUGAGUAGAGAAGAGAGGAGUAGAGGCUGGCCAUGAACACAUGGAGAGAGAGGGGAGGGGGAGAGAAGGGGCAGAGAGGGAAGAAGGUAAGAGAGCAAGAACGGAAGAGAUUAAGUGAGUGAGGAGGGGGCAAGCAGCCCCUUUUUAUAAUGAGUCAAGUUUACCUGGCUAUUGCCAGGUAACUAUGGGGCAGAGCCUAGAAGAAAUGCUAACAGAGUCUUCAUAUGGCACCUAGGGAUACAAUGAAAAGGGUUUGCUAAGAGCCUACAGUCCACCAAGGACCAGGUUUCCACAGCACAUCAGGGGACCUUCCUCCUCUUCCUACCCCUGUGGAUAAUCCAGCAAAGCCACCUCUGCUUGUAAUGAUUUCAGCCAUUUGUGGGAUACAACAUUUCUGUCUCUGUGCUCGAUAGGUACCGUCUCACUGAAGACCUUCACUAGCUGUAAAAGCCAGAAGCUGCUUCCCCCUGAGUGUUGUCCCUGCAUGUCUGCCUGCAGGCCAGAAGAGGACACCAGAUCCCAUUACAGAUGGUUGUGAGCCACCAUGUGGUUGCUGGGAAUUGAACUCAGGACCUCUGGAAGAGCAGUCAGUGCUCUUAACCUCUGAGCCAUCUCUCCAGCCCUCACACACAGCUCUUAACACUCCUCAUCCAGCAAACCUGACUGGGAUCUGGACUCAGAGCAAGGUGGAGACUCAGGUGUGACCCAGCUUCACGGAGCCAGACUCACAUCACUGUGUUCUACUGUAGGCCUGGCAGCCAAGGCACCAGUGCUGAAAGUCCAUUCUUCUGAAGGUUCGACACAAAUAGAAUGAAGUCACCCAGCACA